UACGUAGGGUCCGAGCGUUGUCCGGAAUUACUGGGCGUAAAGAGCUCGUAGGCGGUUCGGUAAGUCGGGUGUGAAAACUCUGGGCUCAACCCCAGAGCCGCCACCCGAUACUGCUGUGACUUGAGUUCGGUAGGGGAGGCGGGGAAUUCCUGGUGUAGCGGUGAAAUGCGCAGAUAUCAGGAGGAACACCAGUGGCGAAGGCGCCGCUCGUGGGCCGAGACUGACGCUGAGGAGCGAAAGCGUGGGUAGCAAACAGG
rnacentral:rRNA from 1 species